AACGCACAUUGCGCCCGCUAGUAUUCUGGCGGGCAUGCCUGUCCGAGCGUCAUUUCAACCAUCAAGUCCUAGGCUUGUGUUGGGGAUCUGCGGCUGCCGCAGCCCCCUAAAUUUAGUGGCGGGCUCGUCGUCGUACCGAGUGCAGUAAAUAUUCUCACUUAGGGAAGGUGGCGUGCUCCGGCCGUUAAACACUCCAUUAUUUAAGGUUGACCUCGGAUCAGGUAGGAAUACCCGCUGAACUUAA
rnacentral:misc_RNA from 1 species